rnacentral:lncRNA from 1 species
UUGAGACCUGGAGUUUGAAAAACAGUGCUCUACAGGACCUUGAAAGACAAGUGCAUAACCCCUGUCAUUCAAGUGACUUCGGCACUGUGGAUCCUAGGACAGGUCCCUGAAGAAGGCAAGUGGUAGAGAAGGGAGAAAGGAUCUCAGGACGUGAGUUCAUAGGAGGCUGGGAAAAGUGUGAAAUGGUUUUAUGCUGGGAAAGCUAAACGGAGAGCUUCCUCCUUUCCACUGCGCCCUUGGAGCAGUACUGGCCGAAGGACUUUGUGACAAAGAAGGGUCUUACGUGACUUUAAGCUCUUCUCCAGGAGUCUACUAUUCCAAGAUCACUGGCUUUGCCACCAGUCUCAUGUGGGGAAAUAAGGAAGGGAGGAAGGAAGGAAGAAAGGAAGUCUUCCCUUUGCUUCAGUAACCAUCAUUCAUCAAGACUCAUCUCAAGUCUAUGAAGCCUUCCCUAACCCCCACUCCAGACACACUCACCACAUGCACACACAAAUGCAAACACACACACACAUGCACACACACACACGCAAACAUACACACAUGCAAACAUACACACAUGCACACACACAUGCACACACGCGCAAACACACACAUGCACACAUGCAAACACACUUACAUGCACACACACAAACAUACAUGCACACACACACACACAUACAUGAAGAGUAGACCAUCCCCCACUUUAUGACACCAAGCUAUCUGGUUCUCACUUCUCUUGCUGUUCUGCAACUGCUUGUCUCCUUCCUCUUCCAGAUUGUGGCUUUUUUGAUGGCAGAAACCAUAUUAUUCACUUCUGUAUCCUUAGCACCUAGUGCAAUGUCAGAACAUAUUAGAAAUUCAAUAAAACAGUUGUUGUUAAAUCAAAGAAAAUGGCCCGGUCCAAGCAUGUGCUACUGAGUGGCUAGCAUGUGCAGCAUUCUCUUGAAAAAUCAUAAAGAACAGUGACAGUGGCAAAUUGUGUCAUUGGGUUUUUGUCCUGCACACAGUCAGAAGACAAACAUAUAUGCUUGUGUAAUGCACAUAGCCACCCAAGACCGUCAGAUGGUUUCUAUCAAUUGUCGCCUGGACAGGUCACUCUUCGGCAGGCUUUCCUAUUUACCCAGGAAUUUGCUGCCAGGCAUCUGAAGUCAGAGUCUUGUUUUAGCAAAAUAACUUUUGUCUAUUUAUAGAACAGUCAGACACCGCAUAGCUGAUCUGCUUGUUCUAUAUUUGCUAGGCAUUUAACUAAGUUGCUGUAACCUACUAGGCACAAGAAAGUUCAACAUUAUAAAUAGGAUCUCUGUCUUUUUCCUUUUAUUGCAGCACUGAUGGAAUCCAGGUAUCACAGGUAUGCACGUAUCAGACAUAGCUAGUUGAAUAUGCAACAAUUUCCCAACCACUGCUGCCAACCAAUCUGCAUCAAUAAACACUUCAAAUGGCUUACUUUUGCUCAUUGGUACCUAUAAAAUCACCCGCAUGAUAACUUCAUCCCAGAUCUGAGACAAAAAGUCACAUAAAUGUUAAGUGUCAACUUCUUCUCUGGAGGACCGCCUAGUGAUAUGAAGAAUCUAGUAAAUUGCAUAAAUGCUAUUCAAAAAUGGAAGGUAGCCUUGUGGUGCAAUACUUCUGUAACAAAUCUUUAGUUCAAAUGUGACUACCUCUCUCCAAUCCCCAAAUUACACAAUGUAUUGGGUGAUAAAUGGCAUUUCAAUUUCCUUUCCCCCAAACUCUCUUAUUUUAUAUAACAUUACCUGCAAAACGGUAAAAAGAAAUGCGUGCACGACAUAGGUGCUACUGUCAGAAGCCUCCAAGUGACAAGAUCAUUUUUGAAAAAAAGAUUUAUUGAGAUAUCAUUCACACACCAUGUAAUUCGCCUGUGUGAAAUGUGCAAUUUAAUAGUUUUUGACAUAUUCAUGGAUAUAUGCAACCAUCACCACAAUCAAUUUAGAACUGUUUCAUUACUUUGAAAAGACACCCCAUGCUCUUUACCUCUCAUUCCUUGUAUCCCUACCCUGCCCCCUACCCCAUCCCCUUCCUCUCAUCCCUACACAACCAUCUUCUGUCU